AGCAAUCAAUCAUCUAGGAAUCACGUUUUAACAAUCCCUAUAUCAUCAGAUGAUGUUUCUUCAUGUUGCUUGUCUGACUGUGAAUCCAUCCUCAAUGGUCGUUGAACAAGCGAUGCUUCAUGGCUUGAUGAGGUAAACAUGAUGAUGGACAAAAGAGAUUUGAAGAAGAAAAAAGAAGGUAAGAAGAAGAAGCUAAAGAAAGUAGAAGAAGCGAAAGAAAAGAAAGAAUAGGGGUUGGAAAAGUCUACAACUUUGUAAUUUUUAUUCAAUUCAUCAAUAAUUGUUAAGCAUUUAGAAAAAAGAAGCUAAGAAGAAGAAGCUAAAGAAAGUAGAAGAAGCGAAAGAAAAGAAAG
rnacentral:lncRNA from 1 species